rnacentral:tRNA from 1 species
GGGCAUUCUCCUAUCGGUGCGGGAAGACGGUUGCUAACCGUUAGAGGUCUAAAAACCUUGGCAAGUUCGACUCUUGUAGUGCCCG